rfam:Triticum urartu cultivar G1812 contig194749, whole genome shotgun sequence.
GUAGUACUCCCUCCAUACCAAAAUUCUUGUCUUAGAUUUAUCUAAAUACGAAUAUAUCUAGUUAUAUUUUAGUGUUAGAUACAUUCGUAUCUAGACAAAUUUAAGAUAAGAAUUUUGAGACGAAGGGAGUAGUAA